CCGCAAUGAGAAGCCUGCGCACCACAAGGAAGAGUAGCCCCUGCUCACCGCAACUAGAGAAAACCUGCGCGCAGCAAUGAAGACCCAGCACAGCCAAAAAUAAAUAAAUAAAUAAAUAAAUAAAUAGCUAUGUAUUUCCUGCAGAGGAAAGGAAAGCUUUCUAUGGUUAAUUUUAUAUAGUUUAUAUAGCUAGGAUUUUCUGAGGACAUCUUAUAUAUUAACUUACUAAUCGGGGACCUUGCUAAACUCACAUGAUAGUUCUAGUCGCUUUUUUGUAGACUCUUUAGGACUUUUUCAUCUAGAUAACCAUGCCUGCAAAUACAGUCAACUCCAUGUUUCUUUCUAAUCUGUAUGCCAUUUUUUUCCCUUGCUUUAUUGCACUGGCUAAGACCUCCAGGAUAUCCUGUGAUAUUGACUAGGAGCGGAGGGAGUGGACAUCCUCACAUUGUUCCUGAUCUUAGUGUGAAAGAAUUCAGUCUCUCAUCAAGCAUGAUGUUAGCUGUAGGUUUUUUGUAGCUACCCUUUAUCAGGUUGAGGAAGCACUUUUUUUUAAAAUUAAUUAAUUAAUUUUUUGGCUGUGCUGGGUCUUCGUUUCUGCGCGAGGGCUCUCUCUAGUUGUGGCGAGCGGGGGCCACUCUUCAUCGCGGUGCGCGGGCCUCUCACUGUCGCGGCCUCUCUUGUUGCGGAGCACGGGCUCCAGACACGCAGGCUCAGUAGUUGUAGCUCACGGGCCCAGUUGCUCCGCGGCAUGUGGGAUCGUCCCAGACCAGGGCUCGAACCCGUGUCCCCUGCAUUGGCAGGCAGAUUCUCAACCACUGCGCCACCAGGGAAGCCCCGAGGAAGCACUUUUUCAUUCUUAAUUUGCUUAACAGUUUUCAUCAUGAAUAGAUGUUGAAUUUUGUCUAGUGCUUUUUCCGCCUCCAGUCUGAUGAUCAUGUGGUUUUUCUUCUCUGGUCUAUUGAUUGGUUGAGUUAGAUUAAUUGAUUUUCAAAUGUUGAGCCAAUCUUGCAUUCCUGGGACAAACCCAACUUGGUCAUGAUGAUAUUAUCCUUUUUAUAUCUUGCUGGGUUUAAUUUCCUAAUAUUUUGUUGAGAAUUUUUGUGUCCAUGUUCAUGAGGAAUAUUGAUCUGUAGUAUUAUUUCCUUAUAACAUCUUGUCAGCUUGUAGUAAUCAGGGUAAUGUCAGCUUCAUCAAAUGAAUUGGGAAGUGUUCUCUUUAAUUUUUUGGAAGUUUGUAGCAUUGGCAUUAUCUCUUCCUUAGCCAUAUAGUUGAAUAUGCCAGUGAAGCCUUCUGGGCCUGGAGUUGUCUGUGGGAUGAUUAAAUUAACUACAUAUUAACUAUAAAACCAAUUUCUUUAGUAAAUAAGGUGCUAUUCAGGUUAUCUAUUUCUUCUUAAGUAAGCUGUGGAAGUUUGUGUUAUACUGAAGGAGUUUGCUUGCUUCAUAGAAAUAGUUAAUGUUAUUGGCACAAGGUUGUUUAUAACAUUACCUUAUUCUUUUAAUAUAUAUAGGAUCGAUAGUGAUGGUCCCUCUUUCUUCUACUAUUAGUAAUUUGUGCUUUCUCUCUCCUUCAUCAGUCUUGCUAGAGAUGUAUCAAUUUCAUUAAAAUGAUCAAAGAGCCAGUUUUAGUUUUGUUUUCUUUGAUGUUUUUCAAAAUAACUGAUAUCUAUUCUUGUUAUUACCUCCCUUCUGCAUGCUUUGGGUUUAAUUUGCUCUUUUCCUAGAGUUGUAUGGAUGCUCUAUUGAUUUGAGACAUUUCUUUUUUCCUAAUAUAAACAUUUAAUACUACAAUUUUUCCUCUUAGCACUGCUUUAUCUGUAUCCCACUUAUUUUGAUAUAUCAUGUUUUUUAAGUUUUGUUCAGUUCAAAAUAUUUUCUAAUUUCCCCAUGACUUCCUCUUUGGCCUAUAAAUUAUUUUGAAGUAUGUUGUUUAAUUUUCAGAUAUUUGGGUAUUUUCUCAGAUACGUUUCUGUUGUUUUUUGUGUAUGUUUAAUUCCACUGUGGUCAGAGAACAUACUGUCUAUAAUUGCAUUUCGUUUCAGUAUGUUGAGGUUUAUUUUGGUCUAUCUUGGUGAAUGUGAUGUGUAUUUCUGAUUUUGUUGAGUGGAGUUUUCUAUAGAUGUCAGUUAGAUCAAGUUGGUUGAUAGUGUUGUUCAGAUCUUCUAUAUCAUUACUCAUUUUUUGUCAACUUUUUCUAUCCAUUUCUGAGAGAAGCAUGUUUAAGUAUCCAAGUGUAGUUGUGGAUUUGUCUGUUUCUCCUUUCAGAUCUAUCAGUUUUUGCUUCGUAUAUUUUGACAGCUUGUUGUUACGUGUAUACACAUUUAGGAUUGUUAUGUGUUCCUGGUGAGUUGACCCUUUUUAUAAUUUUAUAAUGUCAUUCUUGAACCCUGGUGAUUUUUAUUUCUCUGAGCUCUACUUUUUCUGACAUGAAUAUGGCCACUCCAACUUUGUUUUCUUCUUUUUAAUUUUAAUGGUGGUAAAAUACACGUAUAACUUACCAUCUUAACCAUUUUUAAGUGUAUAUAGUUCAGUGUUAAGUACAUUCACAGUGUUCAGCCGUCACCGCCAUCCAUCCACAGAAUUCUUUUCACCUUGCAAAAUUGAGACUCUGUACCUAUUAAACAAUAACUCCCCACUUCCCCCUCCCCCCAGCCCCUGGCACCCACCAUUCUACUGUCUGUCUCUGUGAAUGUGACUCUUCUAGAUACCUCAUCUAAGUAAAAUCAUAUAGUAUUUGUCCUUUCGUGAAUAGCCUAUUUCACUUAGCGUACUAAUGGUAUAUAUAUCCAAGCUGUGUAAGCUUGUAUAACAAUGAAUAAAGUCAGAUAGGGUUAAAAAAAAAAAAAAGAAUGGUGUAUAUAUAGAAACAUUCCAUUGUUGAAAAAAUUGUGUAUGUCUUUAUAUAUGUAUGUAAUAUGUUGAUUAAGUAUGAUUGUAUGUGCCUGGGAAGAACAGAGA